CUAUACAUGCAGUCGAACGAAGUAGCAAUACUUAGUGGCAGACGGGUGAGUAACAUGUGGGUAUCUUCCCUUUGGUGAGGAAUAACACGAGGAAACUUGUGCUAAUACCUCAUAAGUCUUUACGGAGAAAGCUUUAUGCGCCAUUGGAUGAGCCCGCACUUGAUUAGUUUGUUGGUGGGGUAAUGGCCUACCAAGACUGUGAUCAAUAGCUGAUUUGAGAGGAUGAUCAGCCACAUUGGGACUGAGACACGGCCCAAACUCCUACGGGAGGCAGCAGUAGGGAAUCUUGCACAAUGGAGGAAACUCUGAUGCAGCGAUGCCGCGUGAGUGAAGAAGGCCUUUGGGUUGUAAAGCUCUUUCGUCGGGGAAGAAAAUGACUGUACCCGAAUAAGAAGGUCCGGCUAACUUCGUGCCAGCAGCCGCGGUAAUACGAAGGGACCUAGCGUAGUUCGGAAUUACUGGGCUUAAAGAGUUCGUAGGUGGUUAAAAUAGUUGGUGGUGAAAUCCCAGAGCUUAACUCUGGAACUGCCAUCAAAACUUUUUAGCUAGAGUAUGAUAGAGGAAAGCAGAAUUUCUAGUGUAGAGGUGAAAUUCGUAGAUAUUAGAAAGAAUACCAAUUGCGAAGGCAGCUUUCUGGAUCAUUACUGACACUGAGGAACGAAAGCAUGGGUAGCGAAGAGGAUUAGAUACCCUCGUAGUCCAUGCCGUAAACGAUGUGUGUUAGACGUUGGAAAUUUAUUUUCAGUGUCGCAGCGAAGCGAUAAACACACCGCCUGGGGAGUACGACCGCAAGGUUAAAACUCAAAUGAAUUGACGGGGACCCGCACAAGUAGUGGAGCAUGUGGUUUAAUUCGAAGAUACGCGCAGAACCUUACCAACACUUGACAUGUUCGUCGCGACUCUAGAGAUUAGAGUUUUCGGUUCGGCCGGACGAAACACAGGUGCUGCAUGGCUGUCGUCAGCUCGUGUCGUGAGAUGUUGGGUUAAGUCCCGCAACGAGCGCAACCCUCACUUUUAGUU
rnacentral:rRNA from 1 species